rnacentral:lncRNA from 1 species
GCACAUAUACAUUGCAUAAUCAAUGAAGUUUGGCCCUUUGGAAAUUGCUUAACAAAUUUACUAAAAAACAACUUUUGUUCAUGAUAAUUUAAUGUGUGUAUUUUCUUUCUUAAUCAAAGAAAAAAACUAUUGGAUUGUGUCUUUAACACACUGAUUAUCCUGUGCUAAUUGAAACAAAAAUAAUAUUUCCUAUAUACAUUUGAACAUUUUUAUAGAAAUC